GGGCCGGGUCACGUCCGGCCUCCCGCGGGGUCUGCCAGUGUCAGUCGGACCUCCGCACGUGUCCGCGGCCGCGCGGAGCAGCCCUGCAAGCUAUUUGGCAUAUGAAGGUCUUGACCUGAGAAAACUAUCUUGGAUAACCACAGCAAGGAAAAGGGAAAAUGCAACACCUAGGAGAUUUCAGUAAACAGUAGAAUCAUGCCAACCUAAUCUGUGUUAAAAUGCUUGGAAUGUGGGAGCCGCUGAUGAUGCCUGUUGUCUGUGUGUCUGACUGAAUCCUUUCUUUUCUCAGAGCAGCAAAGCAAAGCCUGGGAACCAGGCCAAAUGUCUGCCACUUACCUUAAAUUGAUCAGCCACUUUGAGAUUAAAACCCCUGAAAGCUGCCACACCGUGAAAACAAGGCCUCCUUCACAUUAAAGGCAAAUUGCGACUUUG